ensembl:lncRNA
UCAGGACUGCAUUGCGACUCUGCACCAGCUGCUGGGUAAGCCUGCAGGAGCCGAGUUUUCCUCCGAGGAUGUCAGUCUUCUCUUCAGCAAAGUGUUUCAUGUUCCCUCCAACUCACGAGAAGCACAUGCAGCCAUGAAGAAGGCAAAAUUUAAACUCAAACAGGCUUAUUUUUUUUUCAUGUCAUCUAAAUUUGUUAUAACAGUUUUCUGUGAAUGCAUGCAUUUCAGGUUGCAGGACACAACAACUGCUGGUCCUGUGCAGAUGGAAAUCUUUUGGAUGUUCUUGUGGAAAUGGAAAAGGAGAGGGAAAAGAAAGAAAUGUUUCUUUGGGACUUUCAGCUCCUAAACUCCAGCAACCUUCAUCAGAUGAUGGAUUACACAGAACAAAGCACUGAUCCCAAACAUGCUUACAACUCAGAGCCAGGAUUUAUGCAGAUACACACGAGUGAGAAGAACUGCGCUGAGGAACGGACAAGGACAGUGACGGAUGAACAGGAGUUCUGUGACAGAGAUCCAAGAGGAAAGAGACUCAGAAAAACAGCCUGGCAAUGCUGGGCCAAACUGGCAUCAGAGGGAGUGAAAAGCAUGCUGCCCCCUCCCUGGCAGAGUCAGAACACGAGUUUCAGAGCUCAAUCGUGGGGCUGUGUCACCCUGUCAGACGUCCUCCUCUUGGUGGAGGUGAAGUACGACGUGGUGAAGCAAUUGCUUUUCACAGAAAUGCUUCAGGAGCAUCAUACUAACAACGUUUGGGAGAAGCUGCUUCCGUGGCAAAAGCAGAAGGAAAUGGAGAUGCAGGAGAAGCUUGCAGAGGAGGCGCUGGAGUCUGCUGACUUGAUUUGUUUGGCGAUGCUGCCGGGAGCAUUCAGGAUGUACAAAGCCCGUCUGGAUGCAUCAGAACCAAUCAGCCGAAGGUCCACAGAGCAAUGCUGGACUGCUGUUUCUCUCCUGAACGAGAUCCAGACUCUCUGUCGGCGAGAACAGCACACGCUGACCGACUUAACGCCGAGGCUGUGCAGCGAGGAUCCAAUACUCAUGUGUCUUCACAUCAGACUGGCGAUUCUUAAAGCCCAGAGGGAGAACGUGUCCUACAGCUGUCUGCUAGCAGCCCAGCAGUCCUGGGAAACAUGGCCAAUAAUGAGCAGUCCAUGCAGAGCAGAGCAGGUAGCUCUGUGGCUUGAUGGUGAACAAGAAGAAGAAGAAGAAAAAGAGGAUCUCCAAACAUUACAGCAGAAAGCAGCACUGCAGCUUUUGGUGCUGAGUCAGGAGCAAGAAAGAAAGCAUUUGAUCAGAAUGAUGCGUGAUAUCUGCCAGGAGGAAUCACAGGGGUCAGAUUGUGAAACGCUUUCCAAAGAAAACAGCGAGCAGGUCACGCUGAGAGACGGAUGUUUAAAAAGUCUGAAACAAAUCCGUGCUCAGCUGCAGGCUCCGUCAGAAGAAGUGCAAGCACAUCUUCAGCUACAAGAUUGCGCCCCGCCUAUGUUGACCCGCCUAACAGAGCUCCAAGAAGUCCAAGCUUUGACUUUACUACAAGCUCUGGCAGACCGGAAUCCCGAUGGCAUCCAAGCUUUGCGGGAUAAAUACAUCAAUGACAUUCAGACGCAGCGCUUUAGCAGCCUGCUCCACCUCCUCAACACAGACUUUCCUGAUCCAAACCUGACUGACAGCAGCAGCAAAGACCAGAGCAGGCCUCGGUCUUCAUGCAGCUCAGAUGAAGAGCACAUGAGCAAGGCAUCAGCUGAGGCUGCAGGAGCGGAUUCAGUUAAAAGGGAACUCAAUGAAGUUCCAGCUGCAGAGGACAAAAAGGAACUUUGUUCAGGUUGUGGAGCUGUCAUUGAGGAUCUACCCUACUUGGAAAUUUCGUGUUCAUCAAAUGAGCAGGCCGUAACUCCUGAUGUAGAAGCUCACAGUGAGGAGAGCAGUGCAGCGGCGACCCCUGACAGCUGCGAGAAGCAGGAGUCUCUGAUCACGCUUGCUUGGAGCAAAGCGACUGACUGUGACACAGCAGAUGCUGCAAAUGUGGAAACGGGACAGAGUCCAGAUGUAAAGGGCAGUGAGAUGACGCCAAUCCUGCCCGCACAAUCUAAAGAAACAGUCCAGCGAGGCGAUGGGGGGGGGCAGAAGUCGGCCUUGGCUCCAUGUGAUGCACAGUCUGAAGAGCAAGGCACAACAGUAGAAGAGAGAGAAAAAGCAGAUCGAGAUGUUGAGGGAGACACCUCAGAAAAAGACCAGAAAAUGUGUGCAAAAGAAGAAGAGGACGUCCAGAAUACGCAGGGAGAAUUUUCGGGAGAUGCUGAUGAUCUCGACUCUGGAAGGUCCAGUCUUAUUGUCGAUGCCGGCAGAGAGAUGAGUGAGUUGGAAAAGUGUCAAACUGAAAGCAAGUCUGACCAGUGUGACCUCGAAGAACCGUCUAAACGUGAGGACGUGCUUCACCAAGAAUCAGAGACUGAGUGCAUGGUCUCUGUGAGUAAACCCGAGGGGGAACAGACUCUGGUGGAGAGGGAACGAACAGCAGAACCGGUGUCGGUGAUGGAGAGGGAGAAAACCAUGCGCAACCUGGUGGAUAUACAAAGAAAGGUGGAGCAGAAGCAGCAGAGGGACAAAGAAAGACAGAUGCUGAGGGUUCAGGAGCGCCUGUCCAUCAUCCAGAACAGAAAGGCCGAAGGAGAUCUGCUGGGCGUUAAAGCACAACAGACCGGUGAAAAGCGAUACUCACCCAUGAAGUAUCUGCUGACAGAGUAA